GCUGGGUGUGGUGACGCACACCUGUCAUCCCAGCAACUAGGGAGGCUGAGGCAGGAGGAUCCAGAGUUCAAAGCGAGCCUCAGCAACUUAGUGAGGCCUAAGCAACUCAGUGAGACCCUGUCUCUA
rnacentral:sRNA from 1 species